AUGGCUCAGGAUGAACGCUAGCUACAGGCUUAACACAUGCAAGUCGAGGGGCAUCGAGAGGAAAGCUUGCUUCCUGUCGGCGACCGGCGCACGGGUGAGUAACGCGUAUCCAACCUUCCCUAUAGUAGGGGAUAGCCCGGCGAAAGUCGGAUUAAUACCCUAUGUUAUUCUUUGAUGGCAUCUGAUGAGAAUUAAAGGUUUACCGCUAUAGGAUGGGGAUGCGUCUGAUUAGGUAGUCGGCGGGGUAACGGCCCACCGAGCCUACGAUCAGUAGGGGUUCUGAGAGGAAGGUCCCCCACAUUGGUACUGAGACACGGACCAAACUCCUACGGGAGGCAGCAGUGAGGAAUAUUGGUCAAUGGGCGAGAGCCUGAACCAGCCAAGUAAGCGUGCAGGACGACUGCCCUAUGGGUUGUAAACUGCUUUUAUAGGGGAAUAAAGUGAGGAACGUGUUCCUUUUUGUAUGUACCCUAUGAAUAAGGACCGGCUAAUUCCGUGCCAGCCGCUGC
rnacentral:rRNA from 1 species